rnacentral:tRNA from 1 species
UCCCCAGUGGGCCAGCGGUCAGGAGUUGGCAUUGUCACUGCUGAGGGCCCAGGUUCAAUACCUGGUUGGGGAA